CUCUCUAGUUUCAGCAUUGAUUAAGUCUGUUCCUCGAUGGUCUAUAGAUCUAGAUGUAAUUUUUAUUAUUUUUAAAGUUUGUUGUAUCAUUAUGAUUAAAGAUGAAUGGAUAAAAAAAUUUCAUUGAAAAAACACUAAAACUUUCGUAAUCAACGCGGGCGCAAUUUUUUCAGGUGCCUGACAAUUUACCAAACGCGAAAAAUCACACCCCCGCACGCCACGCACAUCCAAUCGCCGCCGCCACCUUGACCAACGGCCGCCGCAUCGCCGUCCACCGCCACGCAUCUGCCAUCCCCGGCUUCCCCUCCGCGGCUCCCUCAUCCGGCUUCGCCGACUCGUCGCGCAUCUUCGUCCUCCCCUCCGUGGCGUCCUUCGCCGGUCUACCCUCCCCGAUGCGGUCCGCACCUACGGACUCCCCUCCUCCUCCGUCAGCAGCUCCAGUCGCCACCCCCGCAGUGGAAUGAAUCACUCCCACGAGAUGGAGGGAGGCACGCCGUCGACCAUGGCAGCAGGGGCGGCCCAGAAGACUUCAAGUUACUUGUUCCUCUCCCCGAUGGAACACGCACAUGCGCGCGCACACACACACACACGAAGGAUGGGAAGGAGGAUAAACGGCGGCACAGGUCACAGGUCACGGGUCCGUAUUGAUGGGGAAUGGCGCGAGUGCUUCUGUUCAUGGUGUUGGCACGGUCGAUCUGAAGUUUACU